rnacentral:rRNA from 1 species
CCAGGUUGUAAAUGCCAAGUCGAGCGGGAAGGGUCAUACGGGCGGUGAGUAAUGCUUAGGAAUCUGCCAUUAGUGGGGGACAACAUCCGAAAGGAAUGCUAAUACCGCAUACGUCCUACGGGAGAAAGCGGGGAUCUCGGACCUUGCGCUUGAUGAGCCUGUCGGAUCUGGGGGGUAAAAGGCCUACCAAAGGGGCGACAGAUCUUGUAAGCGCGGGUCUGAGAAGGGAUGAUCCCGCCACAACUUGGGGACUGAAGGACCACCGGGGCCCCAAGGACUUCCCUUACGGGGAAGGGCAAGCACAGUGGGGGGNCAACAUUAUUUGGGACCACACUGGGGCCGGGAAAAGCCCUUGAAUCCCAAGCCANUGGCCCGCGUNGUUGUGGAAGGAAAGGGGCCGUUUUUGGGGGUUUUGUUAAAAGGCCACCUUUUAAAGGCGCGAAGGGGAGGG